rnacentral:lncRNA from 1 species
GGGUUGCGCCAGAACCUGGAGCAGCGUGAGUCACCUGGGGGGGGACACUGAGAGGGCUGGGGGAUCCCUGAGGGGUCUGGAGGGGGACACUGAGGGCUGGGGACACACAGAGGGGUCUGUGGGGUUGGGUGCUUAUGUAGGGACCCUGAGUGGCUCGUGGGCACAGAGGGCUCAGGAGUCCCCGGUCCCAGCUGACUCCCCCCUCCCCACAGUGGAGCAGCACGAAGAGGCGCUGGAGGGGCUCUGGAAGCAGGCCCAGGGUGAGCCCAGGGGGCCCUGGGGUCUUUGUGCCCCCUCCCAAACCUUCCCCGAUGCCCCCUGAACCUCUGACCCCCUUGACCCCUCCAGAUCCUUCCUGACCCCCACAAUUCCCUGACCCUUGUGGCACCCCCACCUCCCCCAGAGGGGGUGACCCCUGCUGUGUGUCCCCCCCACAGAGGGACCCCCCUGACCCCCCAUAAUCCUCCCUGAGCCCUCCAACCCCCCUGAUUCCCUCCAACCUCCCUGACCUCAACCCUUGUGACCCCCGGCACCGUCCUGACCCCCCAACCCCCCCAGAGUCACUGUGGAGAGCGCAGCUGCAGGGGAAGGAUGUGGAGGCCAAAGGUCAGAGGUGAGUGGGGACACCUGCGACCCUCCUCAACCUCACCUGUGCCCACCUCUGACUGCCCCCCAAACACACCUGGUGAGCCCUGACCCCCGCAGGCACAGGAGGCUCUGCCUGGAGCAGCAGCAGGACCUGGAAGGGACAGAGCAGCAGUGGGAGCAGCUCCGACACCUGCGCCGGGGACACAGGUGGGAGUACUGCCAGCAGCUCGAGGCCAUCACGGAGGAGCUCAAGCACAUGUGGGACAUGCACGUGAGCCCCGGGCUGGGGUCCCUCACACACCUGGGUGCCCUUGCACAGCCAGGGGUCACACACACACACCUGUGUCCCCCUCCCACCCGUGUCCCCACACAGACCCCAGCCCACCUGGAGGCUGAACUGAUGCACCUGGAGAAGAUGCGGGAGAAGUGGCUGAGCUGGGGUGAGCCCCCGACACCUGAGUGACCCCCCAGGACCCCCCUCAAGUACCUGAGUGUCCCUCCUGGCACCUGAAUGACCCCCGUGACACCUCUGGGCACCUGAGGGAUGCCCUUGGACACCUCAGUGACUUCACCCAACACCUGAGUGACCUCCCGAGCUCCCCACAUGGAACACCUGGCUGAGCCUCGGGCACCUGGCUGUUUGUCCUCGGGCACCUGAGCCCCUCCCUCACAAGCCCCUGAGUGACCCCCCGGACACCGUAGCCCCCCCCAUCGCCAGAUAUGUCCCCUUGGGCUGACCAGUGUCCCCCCCUUGCCCAGAGCGCUGCCUGACGGAGGCCGAGGAGCACCUGGGAGCAGAGGUCCCCGUGGUCAUGUGAGUGCCCAGCUCCGGCCCCGCCCCCUCCGGCACGGCCCCGCCCCCUAACCCCCGUUCCCGCAGGGGAUUGGUGCGGCAGGAGCAGGAGGGGGCGGAGCAACGUCUGGAGGCGGAGCUGAGCCGGCGGCAGCUGAGCCUGCAGCGCCGAGACAGGUGUGUGACCCCCAGGACAGGUGUGUGACCCCCCCCCAGGACAGGUGUGUGACCCCCAGGACAGGUGUGUGACCCCCCCAGGACAGGUGUGUGACCCCCAGUACAGGUGUGUGACCCCCCCCAGGACAGGUGUGUGACCCCCCCAGUACAGGUGUGUGACCCCCCCAGGACAGGUGUGUGACCCCCCCCAGGACAGGUGUGUGACCCCCAGUACAGGUGUGUGACCCCCCCCAGGACAGGUGUGUGACCCCCCCCCAGGACAGGUGUGUGACCCCCAGUACAGGUGUGUGACCCCCAGGACAGGUGUGUGACCCCCCCCCAGGACAGGUGUGUGACCCCCAGGACAGGUGUGUGACCCCCCCAGGACAGGUGUGUGACCCCCAGUACAGGUGUGUGACCCCCCCCAGGACAGGUGUGUGACCCCCCCAGUACAGGUGUGUGACCCCCCCAGGACAGGUGUGUGACCCCCCCCAGGACAGGUGUGUGACCCCCAGUACAGGUGUGUGACCCCCCCCAGGACAGGUGUGUGACCCCCCCCCAGGACAGGUGUGUGACCCCCAGGACAGGUGUGUGACCCCCCCAGGACAGGUGUGUGACCCCCCCAGGACAGGUGUGUGACCCCCAGUACAGGUGUGUGACCCCCCCCAGGACAGGUGUGUGACCCCCCCAGACAGGUGUGUGACCCCCCCAGGACAGGUGUGUGACCCCCCCCAGGACAGGUGUGUGACCCCCAGGACAGGUGUGUGACCCCCAGGACAGGUGUGUGACCCCCCCCAGGACAGGUGUGUGACCCCCAGGACAGGUGUGUGACCCCCCCCGGACAGGUGUGUGACCCCCCCAGGACAGGUGUGUGACCCCCAGGACAGGUGUGUGACUCCCCCCAGGACAGGUGUGUGACCCCCCCAGACAGGUGUGUGACCCCCCCCGGACAGGUGUGUGACCCCCCCCCAGGACAGGUGUGUGACCCCCCCAGGACAGGUGUGUGACCCCCAGGACAGGUGUGUGACCCCCCCCCAGGACAGGUGUGUGACCCCCCCAGGACAGGUGUGUGACCCCCAGGACAGGUGUGUGACCCCCCCAGGACAGGUGUGUGACCCCCAGGACAGGUGUGUGACCCCCCCAGACAGGUGUGUGACCCCCCAGGACAGGUGUGUGACCCCCCCAGGACAGGUGUGUGACCCCCAGGACAGGUGUGUGACCCCCCCCGGACAGGUGUGUGACCCCCCCAGGACAGGUGUGUGACCCCCAGGACAGGUGUGGGACCCCCCCAGACAGGUGUGGGACCCCCAGGACAGGUGUGUGACCCCCCCCCAGGACAGGUGUGUGACCCCCAGGACAGGUGUGUGACCCCCCCAGUACAGGUGUGUGACCCCCCCAGGACAGGUGUGUGACCCCCAGGACAGGUGUGUGACCCCCCCCGACAGGUGUGUGACCCCCAGGACAGGUGUGUGACCCCCCCAGGACAGGUGUGUGACCCCCAGGACACGUGUGUGACCCCCAGGUCACGGGUGUGACCCCCAGGACAGGUGUGUGACCCCCCCAGGACAGGUGUGUGACCCCCCCCAGGACAGGUGUGUGACCCCCCCCCCAGGACAGGUGUGUGACCCCCCCAGGACAGGUGUGUGACCCCCAGGACAGGUGUGGGACCCCCAGGACAGGUGUGUGACCCCCCCAGACAGGUGUGUGACCCCCCCAGUACAGGUGUGUGACCCCCCCCCAGGACAGGUGUGUGACCCCCAGGACAGGUGUGGGACCCCCAGGACAGGUGUGUGACCCCCCAGGACAGGUGUGUGACCCCCCCAGGACAGGUGUGUGACCCCCAGGACACGGGUCUGACCCCCAGGACAGGUGUGUGACCCCCCCAGGACAGGUGUGUGACCCCCCCCCAGGACAGGUGUGUGACCCCCAGGACAGGUGUGUGACCCCCCCCCAGGACAGGUGUGUGACCCCCAGGACAGGUGUGUGACCCCCCCCCAGGACAGGUGUGUGACCCCCAGGACAGGUGUGGGACCCCCCAGGACAGGUGUGGGACAGGUGUGGGACAGGUGUGGCCCUGGCACCUGGGCCCCGCCCACCUGCAGCCCCACCCCUUCCUCUGGCCCCGCCCCCAGGUUGGCAGAGGAGCUGCAGGAGCUGCAGCGCCCCCUGGAGGCUCCGCCA